CGGACUGGACCCCCCCGGAGGCCGACUGGACCCCCGGAGGCCGACUGGACCCCCGGAGGCGUGGACCAGAGGCUGAGGCUGGAAGGACCAGGUUGGACCAGGAACCGAAGCUGGAGACCAGAGAAAUGCCACACGGGAUCGGACCAGAGGGAACCUCAGAUGCAGAAGGUGUGGAGUGUGGCAGCUACACCUGGGAUUCCUGGCUGACGGAGGAGUUGUGCUGGAGGAGGUCCUGCCUGGUGGAGGCGGUCCAUCGUGGGGCAGAUGGAGCCUGACUCUAACGCCAGGACUCUGUGGCGUGGAGGAGCUGGGACUCCUGAGGACAGCCAGGACUCCACCAACAAGGACUCCACCAACAAGGAUUCCUCGACAUGAGCUGGACCAGAGGACAGCUGGUGGGGAGCCGUAGAUCUGGAGGAAGACCAUGACUCUACCAGCAAGUAUUCCAUACCAGGACUCCGUGGCUGAGGAGCUUUAUGUGGUCCGACCGGACCCCCCCCCCCUCGGAGGCGGACUGGACCCCCCCCCGGAGGCGGACUGGA